CUCAGGAUGAACGCUAGCGGCAGGCCUAAUACAUGCAAGUCGAACGGUGAUAUUUAUAUCAUAGUGGCGCACGGGUGCGUAACACGUAUGCAACCUACCUAUUAUUGGGGGAUAGCCUUUGGAAACGGAGAUUAAUACCGCAUAAUACGAUUAACUGGCAUCGGUUGAUUGUUAAAGCAUUUGCGAUAAUAGAUGGGCAUGCGUCCAAUUAGUUAGUUGGUGUGGUAAUGGCUCACCAAGACGAUGAUUGGUAGGGGAUCUGAGAGGAUAAUCCCCCACACUGGCACUGAGAUACGGGCCAGACUCCUACGGGAGGCAGCAGUAGGGAACAUUGGGCAAUGGGCGAAAGCCUGACCCAGCCAUGCCGCGUGCAGGAAGACGGCGUUAUGCGUUGUAAACUGCCUUUUUAUAGGAAGAAGGAUCCCUUGCGAGGGAAGGUGACGGUACUAUAAGAAUAAGCACCGGCUAACUCCGUGCCAGCAGCCGCGGUAAUACGGAGGGUGCAAGCGUUGUCCGGAUUUAUUGGGUUUAAAGGGUGCGUACGCGGUUUAUUAAGUCAGUGGUGAAAGACGGUCGCUCAACGAUUGCAGUGCCAUUGAUACUGGUAGACUUGAGUGAG
rnacentral:rRNA from 1 species